rfam:Tetrasphaera jenkinsii Ben 74 genomic scaffold, 1541_scaffold1
GUCGGCGGUGACCCACGCGGGCCACCCCGUACGCACGAGGGGAAGCCGGUUCAAUUCCGGCGCUGACCCGCAACCGUGGGCCGUCAGUUGACGGCGAGCCGGAUUACCUCGUCCGCGUGACGGAGUCCUGU